rnacentral:tRNA from 1 species
UGGAUAGAGCGACGGUUUCCUAAACCGUAGGUCAGACGUUCAAGUCGUCUCGGGCGCA